GGUAAAGUGCCUGAAUAAAAGGGUCAUUUUGAUGUAAUGAUAAAUAUAGAAUUUAUUCUAUCUUUAUUG
rnacentral:tRNA from 1 species